rnacentral:tRNA from 1 species
AAUUAAUUGGCAGAAAAAUGCAUUAGAAUUAGAAUCUMAUAAAACUAUAAUUA